UGAAUACGAGACGCUAAGGCGUCGAAGUAGUGUAUGUCAUACUUCCAAGAAAAGCUUGCACUGUCAUAAAUAGAAAAUGCCUGUACCAUAACCGACACAGGUGGGUAGGUAGAGUAUACUAAGGGGCGCGAGAUAACUCUCUCUAAGGAACUCGGCAAAAUGACUCCGUAACUUCGGGAGAAGGAGUGCCUUAUUUUUAAGGUUGCAAUAACAAGAUCCAAGCAACUGUUUAUCAAAAACACAGGUCUCCGCUAAGUCGUAAGACGAUGUAUGGGGGCUGACGCCUGCCCAGUGCCAGAAGGUUAAAGAAGUUGGUUAGCAUUAGCGAAGCUGAUAACUGAAGCCCUGGUGAACGGCGGCCGUAACUAUAACGGUCCUAAGGUAGCGAAAUUCCUUGUCGGGUAAGUUCCGACCCGCACGAAAGGCGUAAUGAUUUGGAUACUGUCUCGGAGAGGGGCUCGGUGAAAUAGACUUGUCUGUGAAGGUGCGGACUACCUGCACCUGGACAGAAAGACCCUAUGAAGCUUUACUGUAACUUGAAAUUGAAAUUGGACUUUAGUCGCGCAGCAUAGGUGGGAGGCGUUGAUAUGUUCUUGCGGGAACAUUGGAGCUAUCAGUGAGAUACCACUCUUCUAAUGUUAGAUUUCUAACUUUGAACCAUUAUCUGGUCAGAGAACAGUUUCAGGCGGGCAGUUUGACUGGGGCGGUCGCCUCCCAAAUGGUAACGGAGGCGUACAAAGGUUUCCUCUGAACGGAUAGAAAUCGUAUCUAGAGUGUAAAGGCAUAAGGAAGCUUGACUGUGAGACCUACAGGUCGAGCAGGGACGAAAGUCGGUCUUAGUGAUCUGACGGUACUGAGUGGAAAGGCCGUCACUCAACGGAUAAAAGUUACUCUAAGGAUAACAGGCUGAUCUCCCCCAAGAGUUCACAUCGACGGGGAGGUUUGGCACCUCGAUGUCGGCUCAUCGCAUCCUGGGGCGGUAGUACGUCCCAAGGGUUGGGCUGUUCGCCCAUGAAAGCGGUACGCGAGCUGGGUUCAGAACGUCGUGAGACAGUUCGGUCCAUAUCCGGUGUAGGCGUUAGAAUAUUGAGAGGAGCCUUCUCUAGUACGAGAGGACCGAGAAGGACAUACCUCUGGUGUACCAGUUAUCGUGCCAACGGUAAACGCUGGGUAGCUAUGUAUGGAGUGGAUAACCGCUGAAAGCAUUUAAGUGGGAAGCCCACCUCAAGAUGAG
rnacentral:rRNA from 1 species